UCACUGGUCAUGUGAUGUGACGCGCCAUGAGUGACGACGUUACGCCCAAUGCGGAAGUGAAGCGCAACUAAACAUUCGCCCGUAAUUGUCAUCGAAACCUACUUCUCAUCAGCGUCUCCAGUGAUCAUCAACUAUCUCCAUCAUGCUCGGUGGAGGAUUUAAAUCAGAGAGGCUUCGCGUCAACCUCAGGCUGGUCAUAAACCGCCUCAAACUUCUCGAGAAGAAGAAAUCUGAAUUGGCCCAAAAGGCUCGUAAGGAAAUCGCAGACUACUUGUCGGCAGGCAAAGAUGAGCGUGCGAGGAUCAGAGUCGAGCACAUCAUCAGAGAAGAUUAUCUGGUGGAGGCCAUGGAGAUUCUGGAGUUAUACUGCGAUCUGUUGCUCACCCGUUUUGGUUUAAUACAGUCCAUGAAAGAACUUGACCCUGGUCUACAAGAAGCGGUGUCCACUCUCAUCUGGGCGGCUCCCCGUCUACAGUCAGAAGUUGUAGAACUGAAAAUCGUCUCAGACCAGUUGUGUGCCAAAUACAGCAAAGAGUACGCAAAGCUUUGCAGGACGAAUCAGAUCGGAACAGUGAAUGACAGGCUUAUGCACAAACUGAGCGUGGAGUCCCCGCCAAAGAUUUUGGUGGAGCGUUACCUCAUAGAGAUCGCCAAGAACUACAACGUCCCUUAUGAACCUGAUGCCAUGGUUCGGCCUGAAGUGUGUCAGGGGGAAGAAGCUGAUCUGAUAGAUGUGAACAGUGACUUCAGAAAGCCCGGAGCUGGUGGAAGGGGUGGAGGAGGGGGAGGAGGUGGAGGAGGUUUCACCGCCCCCACUGAGGCCAUGCCUAUGCCCAUGCCAAUGCCCAUGCCCACAGCUUUCAACUACCCUGUACCCAAAGGAGCUGAGCCCUUCAAUGGUCCUGUUGGAACCUAUGAUGGCUUUAGCAACUUCCAGCCUCCAGCGAGAGGAGGGCAGCCACCACAACUUCCCAGCUGCCCACCAACCUAUGAAUCUGUAAGUGCAAGAGUUCUCCAACCCCCUCACCCAGACGUGGACGACUCAUUCAGGGAAGAGCAAUUUGUUACAGUUCACAUGCUUAACACUGCUCUAUACUUACUCUUCUCCCUGGGAGCCUUCGCAUGCCCGUGCCACAAAACAUCACAAACUCGCCUCAUUUCUAACCUCUGCCAUGUUGAGUUUACUGCUUUUUUGGAAUUCUUGGGGAAAUGCUUUCAAGUAUUUAUAAACGGAAGAAAUACUACAAGCAUUUUUUCCAACAAAUCCACCACUGCGCAUGUGAUAAAUGGAUGGUUCAUUCCAAAAUGUAAUUUACUCAUCCUCAUGUCAUCUCAAAUCUGUAUGACCUUCACCCUUCUGCAGAACACAAAAGAUAUUUUGAAGAAUGUUGGUUACCAAACAACAUUGUCGCCUUUGACUUCUAUUGUAUGGACACAAAACCAUUCUCAAAAUAUCUUCUUUUGUGUUCUGCAGAAGACAGUCAUAUACGACAUAAGGGUGAAUAAAUGGUACUAUCCCUCGACUCUAUCCCUUUUCCUUCAUGAGCACUUGAUCUGUAUUCACGACAAGGUCAUGUUGUUGCACGGGUGCGUUCUAUCAUACUUUUCCUCUGUCAUGCUUUUACUAAUGAUACAGAAGUGUCGACUGGAGAUCAGUCAUGAAAAAUUAGAAAUAAAAUGUUAAUUAUUUUAUGAAAACAUACUGUAACAUAUUUUUCAGAACUCAGUCCCUUCAGUUCAUAAAGAUCAUCUGCUAAAAUUAGGUUGCAAAAAACAUCUCACUCUGAAAUCCUUGGUUUCUGACAUCACAAACCAGUCCACUAUUGAAAAAGAGAUUUUUAAUCUCAAUGAGUCUCUUUCUGGUUAAAUAAAGGAAACUAAACCUAUCAAUACACUGGAUUCAAGUCCUCCCCCUUGUCCACUAAUAUUUGAAGGCCCCUCCAAUUAAAGUUUCAACUAAAUGUAAUCUUUUUACAGUGUGUCAUAACUUGAAAGAUCUACAGCCUCUGAAAAAAAUUAAGAGACCAUUUCAGAUUUGUUUUCAGAUUUAAAAAAGUACUAUUUAUAGGUUUGUGUUUAAGUAAAAUUAUUAUUUUUGUUUCAUUCUGUAAACUACAAAACUCCCCAAUUCAUUUUUUGGGAUUUAUUGGCAGAAAAUGAAAACUGGAGAAACAGUUCAAAAUAACCGAAAAUAUGUGGUGUAUUAUUUCAGAUCUAAAAAAAAUGCAAAGAAACCAGCUUCUAUUCACGUAUUAAGCAAUACAACAGUAAUAUUUCUACAUGUAUUUUGGAAAAAUGUGAUUACCUGGAUUUUCUCACAGUUUGCAUCUGUCUUCUCAUGCUGUCAGUCUUUCACAGUCCUGAAGUUUGAUUUUUUUUAAAUUCAACUAACACUGGACUGAAAUGGCCACAAUACAAUUAGAAAUGAUUUGAAAUGAAAAUUUUGAAUGGUUUCCUUAUUUUUCCUGCGGCUGUACAGUAUAUUCAAUAUAGACCCCAAAAUAGAGACCCUCAGAUUCUAGUCCUGUCCUUAAGAAACACGGGAUACUUUACAGUUAUUUAUUCUGUUACCUUUAGGGGAAAAAAACUGUAAAAUAAGGCCUAUUAAGAGGUAUACAUUGGAAUUACUGAGCUAAUAUUUAUAUUUAAGCAUUCAGCAGACACUUUCAUCCAGAGCAGUUUACAAAAAACAUUAUAUGGCCGAAUAAAAUCUGUAAAAAUGUUUGACGACCUUUUAAAGGUACAAACACACCAGAUUUAUUUAGCUUUGUAUGUUUUGUCCAUGUUUUAUAUGAGGGGUUAACAUUAUCAAUGUUGCUUUUCUUUAAGAUCGAUGAUUUGUCAGUCAAACCCUCUGCUUGUCCCCAGGUGAUGCCAGGCCCAGUCCCAUCCGGCCAAUUCUAUGACAACUCCAGCCUUCCAGAGCUUCCGUCUGUUCCCAACACGCUCCCCGCAUCCUCGUUCGGAGGGAACCCCAA